CUCCGCGGCGGCCUCGGGGCGGGAGCAGCAUGGAUUGGGGCACCGAGUUGUGGCUGGACCUCCUACUUCUCCCCUGUGGGGGCGGUGGAAUCCCUGGUUUCCUGGGUGCCGCAGAGCCCCCCGGAUCGCCUUCGCCCCUCCAACUCUGGGAGAUGGAGUGGAGCCAUUCGGGGAAACUGAGUCACACAUCGACAAGCCUGGGAAAUCGGGAACUCGGAUCAGUUUGAGGUGCUGGAGCGCCAUACGCAGUGGGGGCUAGACCUGUUGGACAGAUACGUGAAGUUCGUGAGAGAGCGCACGGAGGUC